rnacentral:rRNA from 1 species
UACGAGGGGGGCGAGCGUUGUUCGGAAUUAUUGGGCGUAAAGGGUGCGUAGGCGGUUUUGCAAGUCUUGUGUGAAAUCUAUGGGCUCAACUCAUAGACUGCAUGAGAAACUGCAGGGCUUGAGUAUGGGAGAGGUGAGUGGAAUUCCUGGUGUAGCGGUGAAAUGCGUAGAUAUCAGGAGGAACACCUGUGGCGAAAGCGGCUCACUGGACCAUAACUGACGCUGAUGCACGAAAGCGAGGGGAGCAAACAGG